GUCUUACUCUGCUUGGGAGUAUACCGAACAGUCAAAUGAAUCCUUGAAAGGGACUCCUGUGAGAGAACAGGUACAACCUGACCUUUGAUAAGAACCUGAAAAUGCUGAAAUGAGUUGAACCAGAACCAAGGAGCGGAGAGAGCAUGCGUCGAGUGAGAAAGGUGAAAAGUUUAACAGAGAGGAAGACUCCUUACUUCAUCUGGACGACCACCUGGACGACCACCAGAGAGCACCACGCAUGUGCAAAUGGGAGGAGAGCUAAUUAGAAUGGAAUGCGAGGCUGAUGUUGCAACCUGUAAUGAAUAUGUAUACCUUACGUAAUAUUGAAUGUAUAAAUAACGAUCGGGAUGUAACGGGACUGGAAGCCAGAUUUGGGCACCUGCCCCGGCUUCCAGCGCUGAAUAAAGCACCUUCAUAUAAUCACUUGGUGGUUAUGUGGUUGCUACGCUAACAUUUUGGCGACCCAGAUGAGACUGCGUGGGCAUUGCUGAGGUGGAUCGUGUCUCGGUUUCGCUCCAGCCGGCACCGAGGGAUUCUCGGGGAGCAGUCGACCGCGACCGACCUCCGCUGCUCACGACGUACCACUGGAGCGGUAAGCAAAGGUGCU